GGGAGCACGCCAAAGUUGGAGAGUUGGGCCUGACUGUAAAUCAGGUGCUUCGGCUGAGUAGGUUCGAAUCCUGCUGCUCCCA
rnacentral:tRNA from 1 species